AUCUGGUAAAAUCUAAAGGGAAGACAGAGUAGAAGCAUUACCCAAGGAGACCGUUCGUGCUGCAGAAGGCAUCCGCUUCAGCAGGAGCACAAGAAAGCUUGAACUCACCAAAUGGCAGUGGUCUUCUGAGUAUUCCACAUCUGAACGCCACAGAAAGAGGGAGAGAAACAGUCCAUUAAAACAACAGCCACGGUUUCACAUUCUUAGGACCAGAAACAGAUCUAAACGCUUUCCUCCACUCUCUCAGAGAAUUACCUGGCAACCACUCAAUCUCAUCUUUGUGACAGUACAUCCGAGAGAGGCAAAAAGUGAUGCUUUAUAAAGUGGGGUGAGAACAAAAGGUUAAUAGCAUUAUGUCUGUUACCUGAAGUAAAAUUCGCUAUCUUCUUAAAAACUUUUAUAGAGGAUCCAUUUGAUAUCUGAAAGCAAAGAUAAAAAAUAGGUGAGUUUUCAAAAUUUGAUGUAUUUCUCAACUUUACCCAGGAAUUAGAUGGCUGGGUGGAUCUUACAUUCUCUCACUUAUUCUAUCAAAUAUUUAUUAAGAAUUCCUAUGUUUUGGGCACUGGAGGCUGGGGCUAUAAUGAUAAGCAAGACACUGUCUCUGCCCUCAAAGAGUCUGCGGUCCUGUGAAGGUGGCAGACCGAGGCCAUGAGAUGCAGGGAGGCAAGUGCUCAAAGGAUGCUGUGGGGCCAAUAGGAGGUGGGCCAGCCCUGGACCAGGGGAGGACCCAGCUGUGCUGGGAGGCACCUCAGCUUCUAGGGGACAGGAGAUGUUCGGGCCGUUUUCAUUUUGGGGGUUACUACUAUAUUAAGAAAUGCUGAAACAAGUUUUCAAAAACCUAUAAACUGGUAACAGAGCAGUUUCACAUCUAGGUAUACACCUGUACAUAUCCUGAGAUAAACUUUGUAAACACCCCGUACUGGAAAUAACCAUCAACAGUAGAAUGAAUAAAUAAUUUGGGGUAUAUUCAUAAAACAGGCUAUGAUAAAACAAUGAAAGUGAGCAAAUUACUGCUACAUGCCACAUGCAUGAACCUCACAGUGAUUAACGGUGAGCCAAAGAAGCCUGACAAAAUGGAACGCAUACCGUGGGAUUCCGUUCACAUUUAGCUAAAACAGUCGAAACUACGAUUUAACUGUUUGGAGAAGAGAAGGGGGGUGGUGAUUAGGAACGUCCAGGAGGGAGCUUCUGUGGUGCCCACAGUGCUCUGUUUCUUGAUCUGAGUGGAAGUUAUAAAUAAGAUAGGCUCACUUUAUGAUAAUUCAUCCAGUAGUACACUUACAAUUUGUUUUCUUUUCUGCAGGUAUUUCUUAUUUUUUAAAAGAAUCUUGUAAAAAUCAUAAAAUUGCAUGUACUUUUAAAUAAAAACUUUAAAAUUGAAACAUGA